CAAGACUAAUUUCCCCAGUAAUGUCUGCCCAUUCAAGAUCCAUCUUCUUCCUCAUUUUACACUAUCUCCAAUUUCUCACUUCAUCCUCUCCUUGUAAUGCAAUCGAGAAUUCAAACCCCGAUAAUCUUCCGUAUCCAUGCACUCCACCUUACUUUAAUUCCUACUCUUUUUGCAAUACCUCAAAUCCCACAAAAGCCAGAGCAGAAUCCUUAAUUUCCCUCUUAACAAUCGAUGAAAAAAUCCAACUACUCUGCGAUAAUUUUUCCGGCAUUCCAAGGCUGGGAAUUCCUCCCUAUGAGUGGUGGUCCGAGUCCCUCCACGGCCUCGCCACCAAUGGACCUGGGAUCACUUUCAACGGCUCUAUUAAAUCCGCCACAAUCUUCCCCCAAGUCAUCCUCACGGCCGCCACAUUCAACAGAACCCUAUGGGCGGAGAUUGCUUCGGCCAUAGCAGUCGAGGCCCGGGCCAUGUACAACACGGGACAAGCUGGAUUGACAUUUUGGGCGCCUAAUAUUAACAUUUUUAGGGAUCCCAGAUGGGGGAGGGGUCAAGAAACUACUGGGGAAGACCCUAUGGUGGCUGCUGCUUAUGCUGUAGAGUAUGUGAGGGCUUUUCAGGGUCAAAACAAGAGAUUUUGGAGGAGACGUAAACAUGGGUUUUCGCAAAGUAGAGCGUUGACAAAUGAUUAUGGGAGUGAUAAAUUAAUGUUGUCUGCUUGUUGCAAACAUUUCACCGCUUAUGAUUUGGAGAAAUGGGGGCAAUUCACCAGAUACAAUUUCAAUGCUGUGGUAAAGUUUCUUUGAUCUGAGUUCCUUAUUUUCUCGAUUCAUUUUGGCUUUUGUUUCUUUAUAUAUUCCAAGUAGAUCUAGUAAUGAGCCGAACUGAAUGACGGCAAAAUAUUAUGUAGCCGGCUUCAAAUUUAUUAGGAAUAGGGUUCCGUUGGUUGUUGUUUUUGUUGCUAUAGGGUAUUUUCUUCGAAUUUUGGAACAUAAGUAUUAGUAUUUGAUUCACCUGAUUAGGUUCUUGAAUAUUUGAUGUGAAAAAGCACUAUUUGAGAGAGUUGCAAGCAAACUAGUUCAUUUUAUAAAUUGCAUUCUUAGAUAUAUUCAACAAAACUAAAGACUAUGCACUACUAUAUUCAGCAACUAUCAAUUCAUUUGAAGUGUGAUUUUAUUCUGCUUUAAUCACCGGUGUUUGUUGAAUGGCCUCGUCUAAAAGUUUAAGUCGUUAGACAGGAGAAUUUGUCUUCAACUAGCCUCUUCACGUUCAAGCUAGUUUUGUUUUUUGCGAAGGGCUCAUAAAUGGGUGGGAGCUGAAUUUGUACGCAAGAUAUUCUGUUUGCUAUGAUACCACUUCAUUUAAAAGCUUAAACUACAAAAGAGUGACAAAUUUAUUUAUUUUUUUAUCUUCAACCGUUGUGUUUGUAAACUUGGACUGUUACAUGCAAAAUGGAAGGAAGUUGAUCAUAAGAUAAUUAAAAGUUACUAAUUGAACCAAGCAUAAAUGUGUAAUUUUUCAAGUCUGUUGGCUAUUGUGAUACUAGAGUUACUUGUCAAAAUGGAUUUAGUCCGUCUGUCAUAGCCUUCAAAAAACAGAAUUGAGAGAAAUUAAUUCCUGUACAAGAGAUCGUUUAUAACAAUGGAAAAUAAGCUAUAGUUUUAAUAGGAUGUUGAGUUAAUAUUUCUUGGAAUUAAAGCUUUAGUUAUUUGCAUGUAUAUUCAGAUAACAGAUCAGGAUAUGGCAGACACAUAUCAGCCACCAUUCCGGGCUUGCAUCCAGCAGGGUAAUGCAAGCUGCUUGAUGUGUUCAUACAAUAGUGUAAAUGGAGUACCGGCAUGUGCAAAUCACGAUCUGUUACAGAAAGCUCGAACCGAAUGGGGUUUUCAAGGGUGGUAUUUUCCUUCCCAUUUUUAUAAUAAAAUAUGUGACGGAUCUGAUAUUUUGCAGAGACUUAUAAUUAUGUUCCAUCAUACAAUGCUACAGAUACAUCACGUCGGACUGUGAUGCUGUGGCUACUAUAUAUGAAAACCAGAACUACACAAAAACACCAGAGGAUGCAGUUGCCAGUGCUCUCAAAGCAGGUUUCAGAUGCUUUCUUUGGAUAUUAGUAAUAACACUCUCACAUAACUGUUAUUUAUGCUGAAUUUAUGAUUAAACUUUAUGGCAGGAACUGAUAUUAAUUGUGGAACAUAUAUGCUGAGGCACACUAAAGCUGCAAUCGAGCAAGGGAAGGUUUCAGAGAGAGACAUAGAUAGAGCAUUGCUCUAUCUGUUUUCUGUUCAACUCCAACUUGGGCUUUUUGAUGGAGCUCCUGGUAGAAAUCGAUACUGGAACUUUGGACCUCGAGAUGUAUGCUCUUCAGAGCACAAGAAUUUGGCUCUUGAAGCAGCAAGGCAGGGUAUUGUGCUUCUAAAGAAUGACAAGAAAUUCCUGCCAUUACAUAAACACAGUAUCUCUUCACUAGCCAUUAUCGGUCCUAUGUCGAAUUCAACCAAUUUGGGCGGUGGCUAUGUAGGUAUGGAUAUUUUACAUUUACAGAGUUUUAUUUAAUGAGAACUUAUAUUUAAAUACAAUUUAUGGUUUUUUUGUCAUCAUAGGCUUACCAUGUGGACAUUUUUCAUAAAUGAGUUCGGCGAGACAUGACCUCAUAUUUUUGUUAGCUUUGAGACCAUAUUGAAUCAGCUGAUUUUGAAGCUUAGGUGGGGACAAAUUUUGUUAUUUAAAUCAUUUUCAUUAUAGGUUUGACAAGUGGACAUCUUUCAUAUGUAUAUCUACAGUUUUGUUAGGUCUGAGAACAUGUUGAAUUAAUCUCAUUUAAAGCAUAAAUUGUUAGAGGGGACAAAUUUAUUUAUUUAAAAUGUCUACAACAUCCACGAACAUCUAAUUUAACUUAUGAAUGAAGGCAAAUUAAAUCCAAAAUGUGAUGUUGUCAAUGAUUUCUCGGGAAAUAUUUGAAUGAAGCUACUUUUCCAUCAAACACCGUCACCCGUGAAAAAGCUUUUAUAUUUCCAAGACCUUCGAAAGGUCAUGUCCUCGACAUAGUUUUUUUUUAUUGUAAAUCUAUUUGUACUGAGAAGAAAUAGUACACAAUUGAAAAUCAAGACUAUUGUAAGAUUCUCCUAAGUCCUAGGUAAUAUGCUUAUGCAAAUUGGCUGUUUGGAAUUUUAUCCCUUUUGUAGGAGUUCCAUGUGAACAAAAAAGCAUUCUUCAAGGAUUCCAAGAACAUGUAGAGAACACGUAUUAUGCUGCGGGAUGCAAAGAUAUACCUUGUAAUUCAAGCUCCAGUUUUGCAGAAGCUCUGUCCAUUGCUACAGAAGCCGAAUAUGUAAUUGUUGUGGCUGGACUGGAUUUAUCACAAGAAGCGGAGGACCUUGACCGGUAUAGUCUUCUCUUGCCAGGGUAUCAGACGGAACUCAUUAAUUCUGUUGCUGCCUCAAGUAAGAAACCACUGAUUUUAGUUCUUACCGGUGGUGGACCAAUUGACGUAUCCUUUGCCAAGGGAGACCUGCGUAUUGCUAGCAUUCUUUGGAUUGGUUACCCUGGAGAGACUGGUGGAAGAGCACUUUCGGAUAUUAUCUUUGGACACCAUAAUCCAGGUUCGUAAAUGCGACUUCCAGAUCCUGGAUUAGAAUCAUGAUACACUAGAUAAUGAUGCAAUUUUUGAAUGAAAACAGGCGGAAGACUACCCAUGACUUGGUAUCCUGAGUCGUUUACCAAUGUACCAAUGAGCGACAUGAACAUGCGAGCUGAUUCUUCUCAAAAUUACCCGGGAAGAACCUAUCGGUUUUACAUUGGAGAUCGACUCUACAAAUUUGGAUAUGGAUUAAGCUACGCAAGUUUUACAUACAAAAUUCUAGCAGCUCCUAGCAAACUGAGUUUACAAGGUUUUAUCAAGGCUGGACCACGAAGGACCAUGCUUUCUGAUAGAAGCAGUGCUCUUGACUAUAUUCUUGUUGAUGAGGUGGAAUAUUGCAACUCAUUGAGGUUCAACGUGCAAAUUUCUGUGACAAAUGAUGGAGACGUGGAUGGAAGCCAAGUUGCUCUGUUAUUUUCGAGAACGUCAAAAUCUUUCAAGGGUUCUCCCGAAAGACAGCUUAUUGGUUUUGAACGUGUCCACACACUAUCCUAUAAAACUGUUGAAAUGAGCUUUCUGGUAUACCCGUGUGAACAUCUUAGCAUUGCAGAUGAGCACGGAAAUAGAAUAUUGCCUUUGGGUGAUCAUAUUCUAAUAUUAGAAGACAAGGAGCAUGUUCUUUCAAUUGAAAUGUGACAAAAUCUAAAUUCAGUCCAGCACUCAAAUUGGAUUUUCAUUAGAGAGUUUCUUUGUGAAUUCAUCUUAAUCCGGGUUCUGGACAGUGCAGUUUCCUUUGAUGCAACACUUCGAUCAUAAAAAUCGGUAGCUCUACAGCAUUAAAUAUUUUCUGUCAGGUAACUUGUGCUUUUAUUCUGAUGGAUAUAGAGUUUGUGUCUCAUGUGAGUGAAAGGGUGAGAUCAUCAUAAUGUAUAAGAUGACUGUACAACACAUUCUACAAACCACAAAUUGAUUAUCUAUUCUAAUUUCACAAGAAUAUUUAACAACUUUUAUUAAUAACUCGUUUAAGUUGCG
rnacentral:lncRNA from 1 species